GUGAUGGAGACGAGUUGCUGGUAGGCUUGGAUGCGGAGCUCGCUCAACGCGUGGGUCAGACUGCUGACGUCAAAGCCGCGGUUACCUUCAGAGCCGUUUUCAUGGCAGCGACGGCGGCGCGGCACAGCGAUGCCGCGACGCUUUGAUCGCCCCUGCUGUCCGCCUGCCGAACGCACAGGAAGAGCACGCUGGCCGCCAGCCCGGGAGAGAGCGACACGCCCACAUUUGCCCGCACGUCUGGACACAAAGACAGAAAGCUCGUACGUAUGAGUGGAUUGCUCGAGAUUUCAUCAGAGGCUUUUCAUUGAAACAAAUAUCUGAUGAGUAACCACAAUAUAAAACUCAUUGAAAAUAAAGCCUUUGAAGAAGAAACUGACA